rnacentral:rRNA from 1 species
AUUGAACGCUGGCGGAAUGCUUUACACAUGCAAGUCGAGCGGCAGCGCGGGGCAACCUGGCGGCGAGCGGCGAACGGGUGAGUAACACAUCGGAACGUACCCUGUCGUGGGGGAUAACGAAUCGAAAGAUUCGCUAAUACCGCAUAAGACCUGAGGGUGAAAGCGGGGGAUCGCAAGACCUCGCGCGAUUGGAGCGGCCGAUGUCGGAUUAGCUAGUUGGUAGGGUAAAGGCCUACCAAGGCGACGAUCCGUAGCUGGUUUGAGAGGAAGACCAGCCACACUGGGACUGAGACACGGCCCAGACUCCUACGGGAGGCAGCAGUGGGGAAUUUUGGACAAUGGGGGCAACCCUGAUCCAGCCAUUCCGCGUGAGUGAAGAAGGCCUUCGGGUUGUAAAGCUCUUUCGGCAGGAACGAAACGGUGGGGGCUAAUACCCCUUGCUAAUGACGGUACCUGAAGAAGAAGCACCGGCUAACUACGUGCCAGCCGCCGCAGUAAAAC